GAUCACCCUUGCUGCAGCCCCAGGAGUCCCCCAAGACCCAGGCUAUAUUGAACAUUAAACUUCUGAUGUCUUAUUAUCACGACAAGACAAGAAUUGAAAAUAGUGCAGAACUGCAGGGGCUCCAGCCAACAUCAGGUUCCCAUUACACUAGAUGCUGUGCAAUCACAUAAUGAGAGAGAAAUCCAGCUUCUAAGAGCCUAUAAUUUCAGCAGACAGAGGGAAAUAGUACUAUCCUAAUUUUACAGAUGUGGAACUGAGGCACAGAGAAAGCAGAUGACUCCCCCAAGACCACAAAAGAAGUCUGUGGCAGAGCAAAGUACUUUACCCAGAGCUGUAGAGUCCCAGUCAAGAGUCCUAACCACAGUUUCUCCUAUCUUUAUUCCCUUUUUGAAACCUGUACACGCACUCAGACCUUUGUGAUUUAAAAGGCUAUUUUAAGUUAGUGAUUUAAAUUGUUAUCUCAUUUAAUAUGCUUCAAGAUACUGAUAAAAAGAGUUGACAUUCUCUCAUGAAUGUAUAAAAAGAUUUACUAAAAAGAUAUGUAUUUCUGUAGUUUGUUUAUUUUUU